rnacentral:misc_RNA from 1 species
GUUAACUAUGAAAUACAGGUAGAUUCAAAUAUCACUAAUUUUUACAAUGAUGAAUUAGAAUCCGACGUCCCAAUAAUUUUUAAUAUGAUUAAAUGGAAGAAAUGAUGGCAACUAAAGCCUACUCAACAGAAAGAACUAAAUUUAGCUAAACACACGUCAUUAUAUUAAUCACUAAUCCUGUCUUUCUCUCCACCAAAGCAAUCUCUCCUUUUCUCUCUAUCCAAAGAUUCAUCUACACAAAUUUUUUUUAAUUUUUAAUUAAAUUUAAAUUUAGUAAUAUUAACGCUAAAGACUCCAACCAAAGCAAAGCUCACGCAUAGAAAUCUUUAAAUACGAGCAUUUAGAGAAUGGCUCUGACAAGCACCCCUUGGAGGAACCACCCACACUCACAGGGGAGAGGAAAUAUCACUCAGCGAAAAGAGUAACCCAUCUGAUCUCUCUCUCUUGUCUUCUUUGUUAGUCCCACUUUGUACUUCCAAUCACAUUUCUGAUUCUCCUAUUCAACGGUCCUGAUCUUUUCUUCCUCUUCUGUCUUCACUCCUUACCCAUUUCUUGAUAUUGUUUCUUGUUUCUUUUAUCUUCACCUCACCCGGCCACAUUCAAGUCUCUCUCUGAAAUCCACCAAAUGGGUGAUCUCAUCCAUUUUUCCUUGUCUUCUCUGCUUCUGCUGCUGCUUACAGUGACGAGUUUAUUCCUGAUAAGAGUAGAAUCAAAGACCUAUUGGCAAGAUGUUGAAGUUUUGAGAGCGCUUAGAAAUGGGAUUGAGCCAACCUCUGUCACUCCUGGCUCCUGCUUAAGCUCUUGGGACUUCUCCGUUGAUCCUUGCGAUAACUUGUUCAGUGAGCGUUUCACUUGUGGGUUCAGAUGCGACCUUUUUGUCUCCGGCAAGAGUCGAGUCACCGAACUCAAUCUUGAUCAGGCCGGUUACUCUGGUUCACUUGCAAACAUUUCUUGGAACCUCCCUUAUCUGCAGAAUGUCGACCUGUCAAGUAAUAAUUUCUAUGGCCAAAUUCCCGAGUCCUUUUCCAAUCUCACUCGUCUGAGUCGGCUCGCCCUUUCAAGAAACUGGUUUUCCGGCAAGAUACCCAUGUCGCUUGGCUCGCUCGCUAACCUCGAGGAGCUAUACCUCGAUAACAACAUCCUUGAAGGCACCAUUCCUGCAAGUUUCAAUGGUCUGAUUAGCUUAAAAAGGCUCGAAAUUCAGUCAAACAAGCUAUACGGUGAGUUUCCCGAGUUGGGUUCUCUGAAAAGCCUCUACUUUUUAGAUGCUAGUGACAAUGCCAUAGCUGGUGAAGUCCCAGCUACACUUUCAUCAUCUCUGGUUCAAAUCUCCAUGAGAAACAACAGCUUGGAAGGAACCAUCCCAGAAAGUUUCAAAAACCUGGGUUAUUUACAAGUACUGGAUCUGAGUCACAAUAAACUGAGCGGCUCAGCCCCUUCCCUUCUCUUUAACCACCCAUCUCUGCAACAGCUAACUCUCUCAUUCAAUUACUUCACAGCCAUACAAUCACCAGCACCUAUUGCUCCUUCAACCACCAUCCAGAGUGAACUGAUAGCCAUCGAUUUAAGCAACAACCAGCUUCAAGGAUUUUUACCCUCGUUUCUGGCUUUUAUGCCAAAGUUGUCUGCAUUGUCACUAGAGAACAACAAAUUGACAGGGAUGAUACCGACCCAAUUCGCCAUUAAAACAGCGGUGCCAGGAUCCGGAUUCUCACCGUUUGUGAGGCUAUUGCUGGGAGGGAACUACUUGUUUGGACCGAUACCGGUGCCGUUAAUGGAGCUGAAAGAAGGGUCGGUGGACGUGAGACUAAACGAUAACUGCUUGUACCGGUGCCCGGUAACUUUGUUUUUCUGUCAGGGUGGUGAUCAGAAAUCGUUAACGGAGUGUAAAAGCUUUAGCGCUUUUAUUCCCUAAACAAAUCCAUGUAAUCGCUGUAGCUUUUUUAAAUAAUAUAAUAUGUCCAUUGCUCGAUCUACGUGAGUUUAAUAUUUUAUAAAUAUGUAAAAGGAAUUGAAGAAACGUCGUCCAUGUGAAGAAAGGGUUUGGUUGAUAAUAAUAUAAAGCAGGAUUAGUUAGUGGAGGAAUACAAGUUUAAUAAUGAUGAGGAAGAUGUAAUUAGAUUAAGGUGAUCCAGUCCUGGAUAUUUUUGGCCCAUACUCUGACACAACUAUGCUGGUUAUCCACGUGAAUUUAUGGUAGACGUGGGGUAGACAGGCAUGAAGUGGUCGUACGUAGUAACGUAGACCGCCGUUAGUGUUGGUGUAGGUGGUCCACUGUCUGUCCGCCUUACUUUUUGGGUAGAUGCGAAGCUGUUCACGUGUUCUAUUUUUUUCUUCAUUAUCUUCACUUCA